rnacentral:tRNA from 1 species
GGAGGAAUACCCAAGUCCGGCUGAAGGGAUCGGUCUUGAAAACCGACAGGGCUUAACGGCUCGCGGGGGUUCGAAUCCCUCUUCCUCCACCA